UGGGGAAUAUUGGACAAUGGGGGAAACCCUGAUCCAGCGGCGCCGCGUGAGUGAAGAAGUAUUUCGGCAUGUAAAGCUCUAUCAGCAGGGAAGAAAAUGACGGUACCUGACUAAGAAGCCCCGGCUAACUACGUGCCAGCAGCCGCGGUAAUACGUAUGGGGCAAGCGUUAUCCGGAUUUACUGGGUGUAAAGGGAGCGCAGACGGCGAAGCAAGUCUGAAGUGAAAUGCAUGGGCUCAACCCAUGAAUUGCUUUGGAAACUGUUUGGCUUGAGUGUCGGAGGGGUAAGCGGAAUUCCUAGUGUAGCGGUGAAAUGCGUAGAUAUUAGGAGGAACACCGGAGGCGAAGGCGGCUUACUGGACGACAACUGACGUUGAGGCUCGAAGGCGUGGGGAGCAAACAGGAUUAGAUACCCUGGUAGUCCACGCAGUAAACGAUGAAUACUUGGUGUCGGGGAGGUAAACUCUUCGGUGCCGCAAGCAAACGCAUUAAGUAUUCCACCUGGGGAGUACGUUCGCAAGAAUG
rnacentral:rRNA from 1 species